GUGCUCACUUGGCAGCACAUAUACUAAAAUUGGAAUGAUACAGAGAAGAUUAGCAUGGCCCCUGUGCAAAGAUGACAAGCAAAUUCAUGAAGCGUUCCAUAUUUUU
rnacentral:snRNA from 1 species